UGAGGAGGAUGUUUCAAACUGAAGCAGGCGUGUGGCUGUUGCAAGCAGUGCGUUAUCCGAUGCUGCGUUCCUGUCCACAAAAAAACAACAAACCCAACACUCUCACAGGAUAUAUGCUAAGACAAUUAAUCCACACUUCUUCCACACACACACACACACUCUCUCUCUCUUGAUUGAUUGUGUUUGUGUUAGUGUUUUUGUGUAUAUCAUCAAACAUGUCAUCAGCUGUGGUUGCUGCAGGUGCCUCCUCAUCUUGCUCUGCUGCUUUUACAAGGAAUCAUUCCAUCAAAACUACUACUCCUCCUCUUCCUACUCCUCACUCCCAGAGAACCUCCUUUCAAGGGCUUUCUAUUCAAGAUGCCAAAAAGGGUCUCUUCAAUUCCUUCAUAGC